rfam:Physcomitrella patens subsp. patens PHYPAscaffold_42 genomic scaffold, whole genome shotgun sequence.
AUCUUCAUUGGCCUUAUGGCUAGAAUCAAGUGUAGUAUUUGUUUUUUUGAGUUUAAUAUUUGGUACAAGGCUCAUCAAGUCUCAUAAUAUUCAUCUAUUUAUUUUUUGGAUGCGGACUAAGCCACUAGCUCAUUGCUCAUAUCACUGCAUGUUGCCGUAGUAUUGCACUACCUCCUUGACAUUUGCAACCUUC